UCUUAAACCAAACAAUAGUAAAAUUUACUUUCAAUGA
rnacentral:tRNA from 1 species